UUAACUAAUAUUGGUGUAUUCCGUAGAUGUCCCGCUCUGACAAAAAAUUAAUGGUCACGUUACGUAUAUUAUAAGUUU